rnacentral:rRNA from 14 species
AUGGCGGCUAUCAAAAUAAAGGUCCUAAGGUUAGUAAAAUUCAUUGACAGGUAAGUUCCGUACAUCAUGAGCGAUUUAUAACGACUUCUUUAUUGUCAUUAACCUUAUCUCUUAGAAAUUCAGUUAGCCUUGUUUACGAGUAACACUAUUAAUAGACGGUAAGACCCUGAUACCUUUAUUU